rnacentral:rRNA from 1 species
GCGCAGCAGUCGAGAAUGCGUGAGCCGGCUAAUCUGAGUGGUUCCCCAUCGGGAACCUUUUGCCAAGUGUACAAAGCUUGGCGAAUAAGGAGAGGGCAAGACUGGUGCCAGCCGCCGCGGUAAAACCAGCUCUUCGAAUCGUGGGCAUGAUUAUUUGGCUUAAAGUGUGCGUAGCAGGACAGGAUAAGUCUCCUGUGAAAU